GAUGAACGCUGGCGGCGUGCCUAAUACAUGCAGGUCGAGCGGACGGACGAGAAGCUUGCUUUUCUGAUGUUAGCGGCGGACGGGUGAGUAACACGUGGAAACCCUACCUAUAAGACUGGGAUAACUUCGGGAAACCGGCGAUAAUACCGGAUAAUCUUUUGAACCGCAUGGUUCAAAAGUGAAAGACGGUCUUGCUGUCACUUAUAGAGGGAUCCGCGCUGCGUUAGCUAGUUGGUAAGGUAACGGCUUACCAAGGCAACGAUGCAUAGCCGACCUGAGGGGGGGUAGGGCCACUCUGAAGCUGAGACGCGGUCCUGGCUCUGACGGGAGGCAGCAGCAGGGAAGCGACCGCGAAGGGCGGAAGACUGACGGAGGAACGCAGCGCGGGUGAAGAAGCGCUGCGUAUCGGAAAACGCUGUUAUGGGGGAAGAACAUAUGUGCAAGUAACGGAGCACAUCUUACGGUACCGGAUCAGAAAGCCACGGCUAACUACGUG
rnacentral:rRNA from 1 species